rnacentral:tRNA from 1 species
CUCUCGGUAGCCAAGUUGGUUUAAGGCGCAAGACUGUAACUUACCACUACGAAAUCUUGAGAUCGGGCGUUCGACUCGCCCCCCGGAGA